rnacentral:rRNA from 1 species
GUGAAAUUGUUGAAAGGGAAACGCUUGAAGUCAGUCAUGCCAGCGAGAAAUCAGCUCACAGGCUACUGUGGGUGCACUUUUUCGCAAGGCAGGUUAACAUCGAUUGUUGUUGCGUCAUAAUGAUUGUAGGAAGGUGGCUCCUUCGGGAGUGUUAUAGCCUACUUUAGAUGGCGUGAUAGAGAUCGAGGAUUGCAGCGAAUGCCUUUAGGCUACGGGUCUGUUCUCUGUCGAUUGUCAAUUGGACUUCAGCAAGCUGAGGCACGGUUGAAUAAUUUACAAUAGGAUGGAAUCCGAUAGAUUCGCUAAGGAUGUUGACGUAAUGGCUUUAAACGAC